GGAGUAUUGCCGUCUUUGUGUAAUCAAAACCGCUACGACAUUUCGCCAAAAAUUAAAUCUCCUUCUCAGUCCCUCCCUCACUCUUAUCUUUCUCUCUCCGUCAAAAGAUUCGAGAAAUCUCAAACCAUUACCAGCUCCUCGCCAAAAUCAAGUCACUCUCCGUCUCCGAGAUCACACCCCCUCAGCUCUCCAGCCUCUCAAUUGUCAAAUCCGCCUCCACCUCCAUCUCCUCCUUCGCCUCCACCUCCGCCUUCGCCUUCGACAGUGAGCCAUCGGAGGCGGAGCUCCAGAAGUUCGGCGUCUACGAUAUCAGAGACUUUGUCAAGGGAUUCACUUCUGAAUUUUUUGAUUCGGUUCUUCAAAUGCGCACCAUUUCGAUGGAAUAGUUAACUCUCUAAUCCUUGAUGCUCUGCACUUCGCUCCUCACAGCUCAUCGAUGGCAUAGAUGGCGUAGGAUUUGAUUAAAUUUUCUGUUCUAGCUUUGUCUGUGAUGGCGUAGAUAGCCCCUAUGUUCGCAAAUUCAAUCAAGAGGUCCAAACGGUGCUGCUGCUGGUGUUGGUGUCCAGCACUCUCAACAUGGUAUGCUGCCGUCCUGGGUUGAAAGUUUUGACCCCUUAUUCAUUUGAAGAUGCUCAUGGACUGCUAAAAGCUGCCAUUAGGGACCCUGAUCGUGUUGUUUUUCUUGAAAAUGAGUUGCUGAAUCAAUGCCGGAGAUGUUGAAGCUUCAGGACGCAGGGAUCUACAUCUGGCAACUUCACCAAGAAGGUAAAGCAAACUUCACCUCCGAAUUUUUGGAAGUGUAAAUGUUCAAGUUGGAUUUCCUUACAUUGAUUCUUGUUUGGUAGAACUUGACUGGAAUUAAAUGUUUCAAAGUCGAUAAGAUUUAUAAAGCUGCUGAGAAGAUAGUGAUUAGUGCUCAAACUUGUCAUAAUCUGAAAUCCAUUGUCUUCAUCAGGUACUUAUUUUUAGUUUCAUAAUUUGCUCUAUACUCUACAAAGCAAUUCAUUGGUGUGUGUGUGUCAAUACAGCUUCUGGCACAAUGACAAGUCUGCAUUACAAUUUUAUUUUUUGCACAAGUAUUGUGGCUAAUGCAAGAGGCUCAAGCACCUGUUCGGUAUUCCCACUGGUUCAAUUUCUUCUUAAUAUCUAGAUGUAGUUGAAAUCCAUGUACUUCUGAACUUACAAAAAAAAAUUUUGAGAUAUACUCGGUAUGCAGGAAAGGUUCACACAAUAGUCUCUGUAGUGGUUUGAUUGCAAAGAAGCAAUAUAUUCGUUAUAAUAAUGUCAUAGAUUCUCUUUUGUUUUAGUUUAUUGUUCUUAAUUUGGUUGUAAAUUUGUAUUUCCAUUUGCACUAUUUGUUACAAUACUGAUAACUGGAAGUUGAUGUACAAGUAAUCAAAGAGGUUUGUUGAGGCUAGAGUAAAUGAAGCUAAGGUAAUCUGCAAUUGAUGUGUGGAUGGAAUUCGCUGCUAAAAUAGGUCUCUGCAAAUUCUCAGUUCCCUUGUAUUAUAUUAUAUCAUUAAUAGUCAUUCACCCAUCCGCAAACUUGUGUCACUUUUCUUUAAAUUCACAUUCACCAAUGAGGAUAAAGCACUCUUUUCUUUCUUGCAGGUGGUGUUGAAUCCUUUGGGAAAUUGAGAAGUUGAGAUCUGAAUUGCUGAAGCACUCCCUUAUUAUAGGCAGUUAAGUGACAGGGUUUACUAUUAGAAAAUAAGCCUGAGGAAGCUGCUGCCAUCAAUCACAUAUUAAAUCAGUUCCAACUUCAAUGGGGACACAAGAGGCAUCCGUAAGUGUUGAAAUUUAUCAUGAAGAUCCAAAGUGAAGUUGGUCUCUUAAGAAACAAGAUGUCUUUCAAGUGGAAUGUGCUGUGAAUGUUUGAGGCAAUCCACCCCUAUGUACUUUAGGUUCAUUUUUUUUAUUGGUUUUGCUAUAAGCUUCAUUUGUGAUUGCUUCCACAACAUUUGUUUGUAUACUACUCAACUUUUUUUAUAAGUGAAGGUUCUUUGCAACAAGCAAAGAAUUAAGACAGAUUUGUUAUUCUUCUUAUUUAUAAAACUUUUGGGUGAUAUUGGAACAAUAAAGAAUUGAUUUUUUUUUAUUGAAAAAAUUGAGUUUACAGCGUGCAAAGUAUGCCUUAAACUAAAUUUUACGGCGUGCUUUUUGGUCAUUUACGGCGUGCAAAGCAAAUUUUAUUGCGUGCUUUUGGGUCAUAUGCACGCCGU